UGGCAAUGAUGAGAGAUUGAGAAUGUCAUGCACCACUCUGAUUUAAUCUUGUGCUGAGAGUCUCCUACUACCCAUUAUUUUCUGAUGCCU